UGUUGACUCAGAGAUGGACCAGCAGAGUUCAGAGAGCAGAAGAGAGAGGUUCCCAAUGUCUUGCCCGUGUGUGAACAUGGUGGUGACAGAGGUGGCUCUGAAGGUCAGUGAAGGACAGACAAACUCUCUGAUAAGUGGAGGUGGGGGUAAUCGUACCUCAGAUCCCCUAGAAAUGUUAAGAUAAUAAAUCUGUGUGGUUUUAAGAAGCUAGUUUGGGUUGAAACUGACGGUCCUGAACCAAGCCAGAACACAGAUUGGGACUUGAACCCAUGUGCCUGGACUUGACCUGGCCUAAACCCAGAUUGGGACUUGAACCCGAGGUUUUAAAUAAGAAUCCCUCACCCUGUAUCUGGACUCACUGAGGCUCAGGUUCUUCAUGUCUCUAUGUAGAAGGAAUUCAGCAAGAGACAAAGUGAUAGGCAAGAAAUAGAUUUAUUAAGAUAGGAUGCUUGUGAGAGGUGCAAGUGGGCAGGCCUGGAAGCUCUGCCCUAGGAUCCAGUGGGAGACAGUUUUAUCCUCCAAAGGGAGAAGGAGUUGGAAAAGCCUGCCCCUUCCUUUCUGGGAGUAGCAGCUCUGUAUUCAAAUCAGCAAAAGGGUGGUCCUCACCCAUUGGCCUGAGGCAGUUCUCGCACUUCCACUAGUCAAGCAAGCCUGCCUUGUGCUGAUGGCUUUUGUGAGCAAUUUAUUAAUUUACAGUGAUCUCCCAAAGUCCCCUAGAGUUUCCUCUUUAUCUAGGAUCUUCUACUGGGACGUCUACCACUACCCGUGCUGUGCCGACUCCAUCCCUAUCAUCUGGUCUUGCCCCUCCCUGCAGAAAGUGGUAUCUGUUUGCUAUGAGUCUCAGUCCAAACUUUCAUUUCAAAUUAUUGUGAAACCAGAAUUCUAUAUCCAGCUAAACUAUCCCGAUGUUCAAGGGUAAAUGAAGACAUCUUCCUACAUAGAAGGAGUUAAAAACAUUUAUCUCCUACAUGAAAAGAAACGCACACUCAUAUAGACACACAGCUCCAUAAGGAUGAACUGUAGCAAAAUUAAAAGGGAUCUAUUUAAAUCGAAGCACAGGCUCCAGGAACCUGGACCUAAUUCAGGUGUAUGAGGGAAAUGCAUGUCGGGAACACAGCUUUUGUGGGCCUGGAAAACAGGGGGAAAAAAGGACGAGAUUAAAGAAGAAUGACUUUGGAGUUUCUAAGUGGCUUAGCAGUGAAGGAUCCCGUGUUGUCACUGCUGUGGCCUGGGUCUCUGGUGUGGUGCAGGUUUGAUCCCUGGUGUGGAAACUUCCCUAUGCCGUGGGCAUGACCAAAAUAAAUAAAUAAAUAAAGACGAAUGACUUUGCAAACAAAGUAGUUUCUGCUCAACAAGCUCUCUGAUAAAGAACCAGGAAGCUCCUGGGAUGUGAUGAAAGAAACACGGAUAUUUUUCUCUCAACAAUAAAACUGAAGAAAAACAAAAAGCCCCAUAAGAAAGUUGUGGCAGACCCUGAAGCCACUUGGUCUAGGGACAUGGAAUGUCUUCUCCACCACCGGAAAAUAUACCCCAAAAGCCUCGAGUACAGACAUGGAUCCUGCCGGCUUUGCCUUACACGUUCCAUCAACAUUCUUUAGCUAAUUAGGUGAAUUGAAAGAGAAAAUAAAAGGAGGCUUUUCUGACCCACUUUGUGGUGACAGCUCAGGAAUGUUGUGAUGGGAGUGGAAGCCGCAGGAAGCGGGGUGCAGGGGCCGGUCCCCUAACCUACGGAAUUGUACCUGAUGUUGGUACCUGGCCGCAUGGAAUGCCCCAGUGCCAGGAUGAGGGCUCUGAGUCCAGCUGAUUCCAGGAGUCCACAGGCAACAAGCUCAUCGCAGUUGGUUGCUGUGGAAUAUUAAUCACUUUAAGUAUCAGAUUUGACCUAUGUCACAGGCUCCCUCGAUUUCUUUCAGAAGACAGCGACGGCCACAUAGACAUGGGGCCCCGUGAACCUGAUGGGCAGGAUACGGGAGCAUCCAAGGAUGCAGGCCUCCCAGAGGUACCACCACCUCAUGGAUGGGAGAGCUUCUAAUAACAUGGAGUUAUGUCUCCUUCUCCGUGUAUUGACUCACCCUUCUUUACAGAAAACAGUAUUUGUAUAAUGAUAUCAUCAACUGCAUUGACUAUUUUUUAUUUUAUUUUGUUUAUUUGUUUUAUUAUUAUUAUUAUUAUUAUUUUUAGGGCUGCUCCUGAGGCAUAUGGAGGUUCCCAAGCUAGGGGUCCAAUCGGAGCUAUAGCUGCCAGCCUACACCACAGCCACAGCAAUGCAGGAUCCACGCCUCAUCUGCGACCUACACCACAGCUCACGGCAACACCAGCUGCUUAACCUACUGAGCGGGGCCAGAGAUCAAACCUGCGUCCUUUGGAUACUAGUCAGAUUCGUUUCUGCUGAGCCAGGACGGGAAGCCUGACUUUAGUUUUUAAAAUUAACCCAUAGGCAAUUAAGUUGUUGAGGCAAGAGUUGAUUAUAGAUGAAACAUUAAUAUUAUAAGGCCUGAUAAAUGAAAAGUCAUGAUGGAGCUGACGGAACUAGGAGGAUGGUACUCAGCGGGGGAGGAUAGGAUAGGAGAAAUAGUUUCUUCAUCUUCCGUAGCAGAAAACCAAGAAAUAGUUUAGCAGUAACGGCUUAUACUUAAAUUUAGUACAAAUAGUAUAUAGUUGUUGAAACGAGAGUUAGAGGUUUUCAUAUAUUUUUAGAGUUAAAAAUAUUAAAUUGACCCAAUAAAAACUAUUGUUAUAAUUAAGAAACUUCUGGAAGGUAAGAAAGGAAAAAGCAUCAUGAGCUAACUAUUUCAUCUACAGAGUGGGGAGUCAAACUGCUAAUCAGAGAUAUAUUAUCAGGGAACGAAGACUAGGUGAUGGGGAGAGAUUGGGGACUUUUUUUUUUUUUUUAANUCUCGCCCUUUCUAACCCUUUCGCUCACCGAUCCAAAACACUCUAUGGAUGUUAAAAAGCAAAAAGCAGCUGAUCGCUUUCAAAAUGCGGUCUCUUGAAAUGUGAAGAUGUGUGAUGGGAGCCUCGGGAGAGAAGACAGCAGCCGGCAGGUGAGAUCGCAAAGCCGCCUCAGGUGGGCCCGUGGACUGGAUGUCCUUGCUGGGGGCCCCAGCGUGGGGUUGCUCAGGCUCACCUGGCGGGCGAGCUCUUUUUCUCCCACCCCUUAUAGCCUGCUCUGGAAUCUUCUCUGACUCUGAGACCAGCUCGCUGGUGGGGGAGGGGAGGGCAGAAUCGCAGUCUCACGUUUGCAAAGCUUCGGGCAAAGGUUCUCUCUGCUCCAUCCUGGCGGUCUGCUUUGUUCCUGUGUGUCUGGGUGGGGUGGGGGGUGGGGCGCCCGGGCGCCUCCCCUCCCCCCUGAAGCCAGAAAUCCCUGGGGUGGACCCAGUGUAAGGGCAGGCAGGGGAGGGAGCAGGGCCAGCUCAGGGACUUGAUGCUGGGUUGGGGAGUGACAAGGUCUGAUUUCUACUUGAGAGAAAUCCCAGCCUCCCAGGGGAGCAGAGCCUGGAGGCAGGAAGGCCAGAUUGUCACCCGUCCCAGGGACACAGGCAGGAGGUGACGAGGCAGCAGAGGGACAGCUGUGCUGGGGCUGGAGGAGGGAUCCAGUGUCCCUGGGACCUGGGAGAACCAGCUUGGCCUCUUCCGGGACCCCCAUGGCUGCCUCGUGCAUGAUGCGUUUACCACUGCGGUUUGGGGGUCACCUGUGAACGUGGGCCUGUCUGGCCGUGCACACCUUUGCCCUGAGCAUGGUGAGCCUGAUGUCUCGUGGACGGCAGGACGCCGCAGGUGCGUGACCUGGACGGGUCCGGAACUGGAGUCCCGCUGCGCCCGCUCCGGGCUCUGCGCUCUGCCCUCCUGGAUGAGGCCUCACUCCCGCAGUGGGGAAUUUCAGAAGUGAAAUUCGAAGUUGCUACUGAUUUGAGUCACCUUUUCUUCUUCUUUCAAUAAUGACUCUUGAGUGAAAAUUAGGCUGCUGUGUGGGUGGCUGUUAAGGGUGCCUCGUUUCCACUUCGGAGAGCUGCCCACACAGCAGAUUUUAGUAGCACUGGAAGUGGGACCCGAUGUUGCCUCCCAGCUGCUAUAUGCCAAUAAAAAGCCCUUAAGCUGAUUAUAAGGAUACCAAUUUAAAUGUCCGGGUACCAUUUCCAUGAGGGGAGAAAUGUCUUCAUUGAUUCUGAGGCCUCACGUCCCCUCUGGGGGCACAUCCACCUGUGACUCUCUCUGGCAGAGGGUGGCCCCGGCAGGGGAGGGGCAGCUGCGGAAAGAGCACUGGACACAGAGUCAGGGCACCAGGGUCCAGCUGCUGACCUGCCGCUGUACUGUGGUUUAAGAGAGUCGCUUCUUGGAGUCCCUCUCAUGGCUCAGUGGAAAUGAACUGACUAGCAUCCAUGAGGACGCAGGUUCGAUCCCUGGCCUCGCUCAGUGGGUUAAGGAUCCGGCGUUGCUGUGGUGUAGGUCGCAGAUGUGGCUCAGAUCCUGCGUUGUUGUGGCUGUGGUGUAGGCCGGCAGCUGCAGCUCUGAUUUGAGCCCUAUCCUGGGAACCUCCAUAUGCCGCAGGUGCGGCCUUAAAAAGAC
rnacentral:lncRNA from 1 species